rnacentral:rRNA from 1 species
CAGUCGAACGGAGUUAUUAUUUCAGAAGCAAUUAGCUUGCUAAGAGUGGAAGAGAGGAUAACUUAGUGGCGGACGGGUGAGUAACGCGUGGGGAACCUGCCCUGCACCGGGGGAUAACACCUGGAAACAGGUGCUAAUACCGCAUAAGCGCACGAGGCCGCAUGGCCAGGUGUGAAAAACUAAGGUGGUGCAGGAUGGACCCGCGUCUGAUUAGCUUGUUGGUAGGGUAACGGCCUACCAAGGCGACGAUCAGUAGCCGGCCUGAGAGGGUGAACGGCCACAUUGGGACUGAGACACGGCCCAAACUCCUACGGGAGGCAGCAGUGGGGAAUAUUGGACAAUGGGGGAAACCCUGAUCCAGCGACGCCGCGUGAGUGAAGAAGUAUUUCGGUAUGUAAAGCUCUAUCAGCAGGGAAGAAAAUGACGGUACCUGACUAAGAAGCUCCGGCUAAAUACGUGCCAGCAGCCGCGGUAAUACGUAUGGAGCAAGCGUUAUCCGGAUUUACUGGGUGUAAAGGGAGCGCAGGCGGCUUUGCAAGUCUGAUGUGAAAGGCCGGGGCUCAACCCCGGGACUGCAUUGGAAACUGUAAAGCUAGAGUGCCGGAGAGGUAAGCGGAAUUCCUAGUGUAGCGGUGAAAUGCGUAGAUAUUAGGAGGAACACCAGUGGCGAAGGCGGCUUACUGGACGGCAACUGACGCUGAGGCUCGAAAGCGUGGGGAGCAAACAGGAUUAGAUACCCUGGUAGUCCACGCCGUANACGAUGAAUACUAGGUGUCGGGGGG